CACAAAAAUAUAAUGCUAUUACUUGAUAAAAGUAGAUCAACAUCCUAGAAGUGCCAAUAAGCGAUGGAAACCCUCCAUCACGCUCUCUUCUUUGCCCCUCACAAGGAAUCCCUUCUCCACUCGAUUGCCUCCGUUGGAGUCUGAUUCUGUCCAUUGCUUGCUUAUAUAGAAAUUCUGUGCAGUGAGGCAUCUAGAAUGUUGGCUGAAAGCACCUAUGAAUACCCAUUUGCCCUCUUCCACCUCUGUUGAACAUAUUCUGUCAAAAUGGUCCACCUUUAUAACCAUUUCCAUACGCGGAGACUGACAAUUUAUAACCAAACAGAGCAUAAUGGCGUUGCCAUUGGAGAAGCACUUCUGUUGCAAUUUUAUGAAGUGGGAAGAGCUGAGUUUCUUCUUAGCAAAGGAAUGGAGGACACGGAGAUUUGGAAAGGCCGAAGAGUUUAAAAGUGCCCCUGCACCAGUGCCAUCUUCCACUCCUCAAGCCUGUUUUUGCUGUAUCUACCCUUCUCCUGAUGCUUCAAAAAGGCAGCUGCAUAGAUACCUUUUCCCUGAACCACAUGGCGGAGAUCAUCAGGUUGAACUUGGUAGAAAACAGGAAUAAUGGGUGUGCCAGAUUUGAGCAUGAAGGACAACUCAGCAAGACACCAAGCUGAUUCUGCAUAUGCACGAGAAAAAAUUGCUACUUGAAUGGAAGCACUAGUUAUUGCUUUUUGAGGUUCCCAAGGGAAGAAAUCCCCCAACUGGAGCUCCUCCGAAUCAAGAAAGACCCUGAUACCCAUAGCAUGGAGGGGAUUACAAAUAGCUCUUGCCAGAGUGUGCUUCACAUCCGAUCCACGAUGAUUUAUAAACACAUCGCAGGGCAGCUUCUGUAGAGGUGAUGAGGAUGUAGCAGAAGUAGAACUAGAGGCAGAGACAGAGGCAGACAGGGGAGGAAGUCCAUGAAAAGCAUAUUUAUUUUGGCUCUGUGAUUGAAGAGCAGUGGAGGAAGUAGAAGCGAUAGAAUUCGAUUCAACCAAACACAAGAGAACAGUAAUGAAAGCAGGGGCAGUGCAGGGGAGGUCAACGCACUCUACAAGGCAAACAGGGGAAUAAAAAAUGAUUGUGGUUUGCGUGGGGAUUUGUCAUCUGUCUCACGCUAAAGCUUUUGUGUGCUUUGAGUAAGGACUUUAUAAUGUAUUCGUCCAAGUUUGAAUAAUUUAAGAGGGGCCGAACUCAAAUUUUUUAA